rnacentral:rRNA from 1 species
AUUGAACGCUGGCGGCAUGCCUUACACAUGCAAGUCGAACGGCAGCGGACCUUCGGGUGCCGGCGAGUGGCGAACGGGUGAGUAAAGUAUCGGAACGUACCUUUCAGUGGGGGAUAACGUAGCGAAAGUUACGCUAAUACCGCAUAUUCUGUGAGCAGGAAAGCAGGGGAUCGCAAGACCUUGCGCUGAUUGAGCGGCCGAUAUCAGAUUAGCUAGUUGGUGAGGUAAAGGCUCACCAAGGCGACGAUCUGUAGCGGGUCUGAGAGGAUGAUCCGCCACACUGGAACUGAGACACGGUCCAGACUCCUACGGGAGGCAGCAGUGGGGAAUUUUGGACAAUGGGGGCAACCCUGAUCCAGCCAUGCCGCGUGAGUGAAGAAGGCCUUCGGGUUGUAAAGCUCUUUCGGCCAGGAAGAAAUCGCGCAGGUUAAUACCCUGUGUGGAUGACGGUACCGGAAUAAGAAGCACCGGCUAACUACGUGCCAGCAGCCGCCGUAAGAC